ACGCGAGGAACCUUACCAGGUCUUGACAUCCUCUGACACUCCUAGAGAUAGGACGUUCCCCUUCGGGGGACAGAGUGACAGGUGGUGCAUGGUUGUCGUCAGCUCGUGUCGUGAGAUGUUGGGUUAAGUCCCGCAACGAGCGCAACCCUUGAUCUUAGUUGCCAGCAUUAAGUUGGGCACUCUAAGGUGACUGCCGGUGACAAACCGGAGGAAGGUGGGGAUGACGUCAAAUCAUCAUGCCCCUUAUGACCUGGGCUACACACGUGCUACAAUGGAUGGUACAAAGGGCAGCAAAACCGCGAGGUCGAGCAAAUCCCAUAAAACCAUUCUCAGUUCGGAUUGUAGGCUGCAACUCGCCUACAUGAAGCUGGAAUCGCUAGUAAUCGCGGAUCAGCAUGCCGCGGUGAAUACGUUCCCGGGCCUUGUACUCACCGCCCGU
rnacentral:rRNA from 1 species